UACGUAGGGGGCAAGCGUUGUCCGGAAUCAUUGGGCGUAAAGCGCGUGUAGGCGGUUCAGCAAGUCUGCUGUGAAAGUCCAGGGCUCAACCCUGGAAGUGCAUUGGAAACUACGAAGCUCGAGUCCUGGAGAGGAGAGCGGAAUUCUCGGUGUAGAGGUGAAAUUCGUAGAUAUCGGGAGGAACACCAGUGGCGAAGGCGGCUCUCUGGACAGGUACUGACGCUGAGACGCGAAAGCGUGGGUAGCAAACAGG
rnacentral:rRNA from 1 species